UACAGAGGGUGCAAGCGUUAAUCGGAAUUACUGGGCGUAAAGCGUGCGCAGGCGGUUUUUGUAAGUCUGUCGUGAAAUCCCCCGGGCUCAACCUGGGAAUUGCGAUGGAGACUGCAAGGCUAGAAUCUGGCAGAGGGGGGGUAGAAUUCCACGUGUAGCAGUGAAAAUGCGUAGAGAUGUGGAGGAACACCAGUGGCGAAGGCGGCUUUUCUGGUCU
rnacentral:rRNA from 1 species